rnacentral:rRNA from 1 species
CGGGUGCGUAACGCGUAUAGAACCUACCUUUUACAGAGGAAUAGCCUUUAGAAAUGAAGAUUAAUGCCUCAUGGUAUUGUAGACUGGCAUCAGUUUAUAAUUAAAGAUUUAUCGGUAAAAGAUGGCUAUGCGUCCUAUUAGUUAGUUGGUAAGGUAACGGCUUACCAAGACAGCGAUAGGUAGGGGUCCUGAGAGGGAGAUCCCCCACACUGGUACUGAGACACGGACCAGACUCCUACGGGAGGCAGCAGUGAGGAAUAUUGGACAAUGGAGGAGACUCUGAUCCAGCCAUGCCGCGUGUAGGAAGAAUGCCCUAUGGGUUGUAAACUACUUUUAUACAGGAAGAAACACUGGUAUGUAUACCAGCUUGACGGUACUGUAAGAAUAAGGACCGG